GCACCCCGAAUCCUCCGCGGGGGACUGCUGCGUCUCCACACGCAGACGGCAGCGCGGGUCUCAGCCGGCCCAGGCAGAAGAAUCUCUCCUGGGGGGCGUCUCGCGGGCAGAGCCAGCGACCCCCGGACGUAGCGAGGACUACACUUCCCAAGAUGCCGUGCGCUGGGUUUCGUUCGGCGCUGAAUAGAGACCCGAGAUUGAGCUCUUCGCUGACAAUUGGAAGUGGAGUAAUGUUACAUUCCCUUGAUGCUUCUAGCUUGUAUCGCUUUGGACCUGAUGGCUAAAGAAAGGAGCCAUCAGCCUCCAGAAGACUGCUCCCUUGGCCAUAAGAGAGAACAUUGGAAGGACCAUUCAAGCCAGACUACCCAGCUUUUCUAGCCUCAAAGGGGUCACUGAUUGAGUUCUGUGGAUAUUUUUCUACAUGUGUCUUGGGUGAGAGAUAACCUAGAUCAUCAUUACCACUACAUAAUGCCUCAAGUUCAAAAUCCUGCAUUGCGCAACCCUCCCCCUCUGUACAAAGUACAGGGGCAUCAGCAUGGAGACCUCCCAGUUCUGCGUAUUGGCAAGGAAAUGGAAUGGAGGCUUCUUUCCCAUGGACCCAGAAUUCAGAGAAUCUCUAAUGCUACCACAGAAGACUUUUUGGAAAGAUGUGAUUACUGAGCCAAGAUUUAUCUAUUCAAUCCAAGAAGAGAAUAAGGAAUGAGGCAGAAGAUUUUUGAUGAACAGCUCAAGGGGAAGAUCUAAAACUCAAACAAGCAUUGCUCUGAUAUACAUCACCACAGAAACAAACUAUUGGAAUUUGAGACCUCUGAGGCACUGAGUAUAACCAUUGCAAAAAGAAAGAGAAAGAAAGAAAGGAAGAGGAGAGAAGAAGAAAGGAAGAGAAAGAAAUGGACAAAAUCGGUGAAUUACUAAUUGGAUUAAUGCAAAGCCUUCCAUUAUAAUUCUAGCAGAAGGAAAGGCAUGCCCAUAUCCAGGAAUAUAAACUCUUUACCCUGAUUUCUACUGACCUACUCAACAUAUGUGGCUUUUAAUAAAAAAAAAAAAAA